AACAAUCGUUUGAUAACUUCUUGUUCCAUGAUCAUUAUUUGAUGUAUUAGAGGUCAUAUGAAAAGAAAAUGUACUACCUUCCAAAAAAUUUGAUAUCAAAGAGAAUAUAAACAACGCGAAAAAAACACUUAAUGAGGCUUGACAACAAAAAGGAAUAGACCCAUUCAUUGCAUAUGCUAAGCACAAAUCUUUACAGCAUAUGCUCUCAAUAAUUGUUCAACACAGAUGUAAUUUCUGCCCUACCAUAUCAGAUCCAGAGUAUCUAAAAACAGUUAAAAGGAAGAAAAGCGAAAAGCUAGACGGGAUUCUCCUAAAGUCAUUUAACAGUAUGGUGAAAUUAAGGCAAUCAACAACAAGAUGGCAUCCCAAGUUUUCCUUUUACAAAAGUGUUUGCGUAUCAUCGUAUGUACAAUGCCAUCCUCCAAACAUAAAGUAAUAUAUCAUAAAAAUGUCUUAAGUCCACACCACGUCCAAUUAAGUUUUGUCAGAUCUUCGUAAGGGUUUAAAUCUCAGCUGUGAAUUUGUCAAAUCCAGUAGAUAUACAACAGGGUAUCCAUGAAUGUGGGUAAAUAUGUGACUGAUAAACUUGAAAAAUUCUCACACUUAGAAAAUAAAUUAAAUUAAACAUGCCCACUGUUUUAAUAAAUGUGCCAUAAGAGGCACCGUCUCAAAACAACUGACAAACUGUGUCUUUCAUUGCUCUAGAUCAUAUAAAUUUGUGCCACUAAGGGAGACUGUGGUUUACUCUAACAGCACAAAUACCCAUCAGUGUGAUUAACAAAAUCAUCUAACAUUUACAAAAUCAUCUAACAUUUACAAAAUCUAGAGUCAAGAAUCCAGACACAAUUACCAAACUUCAAUUAAUACUUGUACCACAAAACACCAAAAACCACAACAUUAUGCAAGCAAAAUCAGACUCAUAAAAUCAAAAUAGUGCAAAAAACCAAACCUAGCAUUCAAUUGGAGGUGGGGGUGGAGGUGGAGGUGGCAUCAUAGCUGUGCUGAAGAAGAUCGUCAUAAGGGUCCCUUCUGCCAGGCACUUGGCUAAUCUGAGGAUCCCAACGGAGUUGGGAAUUGUGACGUUCAAAUGUCCAAAAUCCGUAGGGACGCAGAGGAUAGCUCCACAUCUCU
rnacentral:lncRNA from 1 species